AGAGUUUGAUCCUGGCUCAGAACGAACGCUAGCGGCGUGCCUAACACAUGCAAGUCGUACGAGAAAUCCCGGGCAACUGGGAGAGUAAAGUGGCGCACGGGUGAGUAACGCGUGGGUAAUCUACCUUGGAGUUCGGAAUAACACCUCGAAAGGGGUGCUAAUACCGGAUAUCGUCCCAGGGGUUUCGGCUCCGGGGAUGAAAGAUGGCUGAGGCUUGCAAGCUAUUGCUCCAAGAUGAGCCCGCGUACCAUUAGCUAGUUGGUGGGGUAACGGCCCACCAAGGCAAUGAUGGUUAGCUGGUCUGAGAGGAUGACCAGCCACACCGGAACUGAGAUACGGUCCAGACUCCUACGGGAGGCAGCAGUGAGGAAUCUUGCGCAAUGGGGGCAACCCUGACGCAGCAACGCCGCGUGAGGGAAGAAGGCUUUCGGGUUGUAAACCUCUUUCAGGAGGGACGAAGCUUCCGAGGUUAAUAGCCUACGGGGUGACGGUACCUCCAGAAGAAGCCCCGGCUAACUACGUGCCAGCAGCCGCGGUAAUACGUAGGGGGCAAGCGUUGUCCGGAAUCAUUGGGCGUAAAGCGCGUGUAGGUGGUUUCUUAAGUCUGAUGUGAAAGCCCACGGCUCAACCGUGGAGGGUCAUUGGAAACUGGGGAACUUGAGUGCAGGAGAGAAGAGUGGAAUUCCACGUGUAGCGGUGAAAUGCGUAGAGAUGUGGAGGAACACCAGUGGCGAAGGCGACUCUUUGGCCUGUAACUGACACUGAGGCGCGAAAGCGUGGGGAGCAAACAGGAUUAGAUACCCUGGUAGUC
rnacentral:rRNA from 1 species